rnacentral:rRNA from 1 species
UACGUAGGGUGCGAGCGUUAAUCGGAAUUAUUGGGCGUAAAGCGUGCGCAGGCGGUGAGCUGUGUCCGAUGUGAAAGCCCCGGGCUUAACCUGGGAAUGGCAUUGGAAACUGGCUUGCUGGAGUGCGGCAGAGGGGGGUGGAAUUCCGCGUGUAGCAGUGAAAUGCGUAGAGAUGCGGAGGAACACCGAUGGCGAAGGCAGCCCCCUGGGUCGACACUGACGCUCAGGCACGAAAGCGUGGGGAGCAAACAGG